ACAGCUCUGAGGAAGCCCACAAUAAAACAGGCAAAGAAGGAAGUCUGGGAUACAAGACUGGUUUGCAGUUUGCAAUUCUCUUCUUCCACUGGUUCUUAAGGGAGUUGAGUAAAAAUAAUUUUUAUGUUCUUCACAUUUUCAAGGAAUGCAUUAUUUAAGCAGAUGGAGAAACUGAGGCACCAAGUUGUUGAUUGUUUCCCCAACUUCCUCAUCUAUGAGGCAUCACCUCUGAAACGGCAGUCCGUGGAUGUCUCCUGCCUUCCAGUGAUGCGCUGCGGACAGAAACUGCCAGUGGUCGUGGAGAGAGAGGGAGACUCUCCAACAGACACCCUGCGCUGAGCACAGAGCCCAACGGGAGGCUCAGCCUCACGACCCUGAGAUCAUGUUCUGCCGAAACUAAGCCGAAACCUACAUAUUCUUACCAAUUAGCUUGGAAUCAAAUAAGUCAUUGGUGUGGUAAAAUAUAUGUCAUUAGAAAAAGAAACACCUUCCUAGAAAUUUUUUAAAGAUUUAGUCAUUUAUUAGAGGGAG